rnacentral:rRNA from 1 species
AUGGAAGAGGAAGAGGAUGACUUCGAUGAGUCCGUUCAUUAUCAUGAGUUUGCAGAUCCUAUUUUUGUUUCUGAUGAAGAGGAAGAUGGGGCUGGAGGGGAUGAGACCGGAGAAGAUGGGGCUGGAGGGGAUGAGGCCGGAGAAGAUGGGGCUGAAGAGGAGGAGGAUAAUGUAGAAGUUGCUUCCAAAAGAAAACUUACCUCAACUGUGUGGGCUGAGUUCAAGAGAGUGAAGGUUGCUGGAAAAUGGAAGGCAAAGUGUGUUUAUUGCAAUAAGGAGCUUGGAGGAGAACCAAAGAAUGGGACCAAACAUCUUCACUACCACUUAGGUUUUCGAAGAUUUGUUAGUGCCCUUCAACCCUUAUUUAAAAUGGUGACAAGAAACACUAUUAGAAAGGAUAUUGUGAAUGCAUACAAAGCUGAAAGGAAGAAGGCUAUUGAGUAUAUGGCUGGAAAUAAAUCAAGAGUGGCUAUUACUACUGAUAUGUGGACGGCCGACAACCAAAAGAAGGGUUACAUGGCAAUCACAGGCCAUUUCAUUGAUGAUUCUUGGAAGCUUAGGAGUGUUAUCAUGAGGUUUAUUUAUGUGCCAGCUCCUCACACCGGAGAAGUUAUAGCUGAAGAACUUCAUGAAACUCUGAUAUCCUGGAAUCUGGAUGAGAAGCUAUCAGCUGUGACGGUUGACAAUUGCACCACCAAUGACAAGACGGUUGAGUUGUUGGUGACCAAGAUAGGAAAAACCAAGCUCAUGCUGAAAGGUACUUUGCUUCACAUGCGUUGUUGUGCACACAUUUUGAAUCUGAUUGUCAAAGAUGGCUUAGAUGCUAUGAAACCAGCCAUAGAAAAGGUUAGAGAUAGUGUGGCCUUUUGGACUGCUACACCAAAAAGAGUAGAGAAGUUUGAGGAAAUUGCAAAAUAUCAAAAGGUAAAAAUUACAAGAAGAUUAACACUUGAUUGCAAAACUAGGUGGAAUUCAACUUUCACAAUGCUUAGUGUGGCUCUGCCAUAUAGAUCUGUUUUUGCAAGAUUAAAGAAGGUUGACAAACAAUAUGAGAGUCUCCCUAGUGAGGAAGAGUGGGAUUUUGCCACUCAUGUUGUCGAGAGGUUGCGGUUGUUCUUUGACAUCACCGCACUAUUUUCUGGAACUGAUUAUGUGACAGCCAACAUAUAUUUCCUCAAGAUUUGUGAGAUCAAAAUGAACAUGAGACAAUGGUCAACAUGUGGCAAUGCUGUGAUAGAAGCCAUGUCUGCUAGCAUGACAGAGAAGUUCAAUGAAUAUUGGACUGAUAUUCAAAGUCUGAUGGGCAUGGCAACAAUUCUUGAUCCUCGGUACAAAAAUGAGAUGUUGCUUGUUUGCUUUGCAAUGUUAUAUGGUGUCAAUGUUUCAUCUGCAGAAUGUGAGGGGUAUGUGGCAGAAUUAGUUGCCAAGUUAUGCAAAUUGUUAGAGGAAUACAGUCUUGAGAAGGAUGAUGAUGAAUCAGCUCCUUCUUCCUCUUUUUCUUCUAUGCAAGCCCCAGCUCUUAUGUCACUCUUCAAUGAGCGUGUUGCUCAGAAAAGGCCAACAGCUUCUAGGAUGAAAUCUGAGUUAGACCGCUACUUAGAAGAUGAGCUAGUUCCAGUUUCACAAGAUAAAUUUAAUGUGUUAGAUUGGUGGAAAGUGGCUGGAACACGCUAUCCUACUUUGCGGAUGCUAGCCCGUGACAUCUUUGCUAUUCCAGUCAGCACCGUUGCUUCAGAAUCUGCAUUCAGUACAAGCAGUAGAGUUCUAUGUGACCAUCGUUGUAGUCUUACUCCAGAAAUGUUAGAGACUCUAAUGUGCUCACAAGAUUGGAUACGGAACAAAUAUAAAGAUGGCAACAAUGCAAACUCACCAAGUUUCUGGACUUGUCUCCAAGACAAUCAAGAGGUUCUGCCCCCACCUGAUCUGGAAAGUUGCGCUUGA